rnacentral:lncRNA from 10 species
GCUAUAGACAGCUCUCAUGUAGGUAAGGGGAGGCCUGUGAGCAGAAGAGGCAGCCUCCAGGGGGUGGCAACUGGGAAGGAAGGAGAGGAGCAGGGUAGGUCUACAGCUGCAGCCUCUCCUGGUGACCAGCAUUCAGGCUACCUCUGGCUGUGGCUGAGUGAGAAAGAAGGUUUUUGUACACCCAGCCCUCAGCCGUCCACCCAAGGCUGCUCCAGCCUGGGGGGGCUCCUGUUGGCUCAUGGGAACACAUUUGGAAGAGAAGAUGGCCCUGCUCAGCUGUAUUAAGAGAAUACACACGCCAGACCCUGACCCUUCCCAGCCUCUCCCAGAACACAUGUAUCAGAAUCUCCUGGGAUUCUGGUGGGAAACGAAGCUCCUGACCUCAACCCCACACUUUUGAAUUCCCUGAGGAUGAGGCAAAGGAAUCUGCAAGUUGGAAAGCAGCUUUAGGGGUAUUCCAGUCCAAGCUCCAGUGGCUGUUGAGUGGUAGCUGGUUGCUGAUACCCCCUGGGAAUAGAACUCAGGUUCCUGCCCCCCUACCAGCACCACAUCACACUUUCCCUCAAAAAAUUCCUCCCUGGCUUGU